CAAUAGCGUAUAUUAAAGUUGUUGCAGUUAAAAAGCUCGUAGUUGGAUUUCUGAUCGAGACAUCAGGUCGGGUCCGAGAGGAUCAUGUACUUUGAUUUUGUUUUGAUCAUCCUUGGGGAGAGCAUUUCUGGCAUUCAGUUGUCGGGAUUGGGAUCCUCAUCGUUUACUGUGAAAAAAUUAGAGUGUUCAAAGCAGGCCUCGGCCUCUGAAUACAUUAGCAUGGAAUAAUAAGAUAGGACUUUGGUGGUCUAUUUUGUUGGUUUGCACGCCAAAGUAAUGAUUAAUAGGGAUAGUUGGGGGUAUUCGUAUUCAAUUGUCAGAGGUGAAAUUCUUGGAUUUAUGGAAGACGAACUACUGCGAAAGCAUUUACCAAGGAUGUUUUCACUAA
rnacentral:rRNA from 1 species